GGCUCAGGACGAACGCUGGCGGCGUGCCUAACACAUGCAAGUCGAGCGGAGUUAACAAGAGGAAGUUUCGGAUGGAAUUUGUAAUUAGCGGCGGACGGGUGAGUAACGCGUGAGCGACCAACCUUGCACAGGGGGAUAACGGACCGAAAGGUUCACUAAUACCGCAUGAGACCACGGUGUUGCAUGACACAGAGGUCAAAGGAGCAAUCCGGUGCAAGACGGGCUCGCGUCCGAUUAGGUAGUUGGUGGGGUAAUGGCCCACCAAGCCUAUGAUCGGUAGCCGACCUGAGAGGGUGAUCGGCCACAUUGGAACUGAGAUACGGUCCAAACUCCUACGGGAGGCAGCAGUGGGGAAUAUUGGGCAAUGGGGGAAACCCUGACCCAGCAACGCCGCGUGAAGGAAGAAGGUUUUCGGAUUGUAAACUUCUGUCCUUGGUGAAGAGAAGAAGACGGUAGCCAAGGAGGAAGCCCCGGCUAACUACGUGCCAGCAGCUGC
rnacentral:rRNA from 1 species